CGGCCGGUCGCCACACGCCGGCAGCCUCCGGCUGGGCUCGGCACGGCGCGGCGAGGGGCUCCCUCCUGCCCCGCCGAGCCACCCCGGGGCGCGGGGCCUGCCGCCGCCUCCCCCGGGCCGUCGAGGCCAUGGCGGCCAUCCAGAACCUGCAGCUGUGGUGCAAGCAGCAGUGUGAGGGCUACCGCGAUGUCAGCAUCACCAACAUGACCACCUCCUUCCGCGACGGCCUCGCCUUCUGCGCCAUCCUCCACCGCCACCGGCCCGACCUCAUAAACUUCAACUCCCUCAGUAAAGAAAAUGUGUAUGAGAAUAACAAGUUGGCAUUUCGAGUGGCAGAGGAGGAGCUGGGGAUCCCAGCCUUGCUGGAUGCAGAGGAUAUGGUUGCUCUGAGAGUACCAGACAGACUGAGCAUCCUCACCUAUGUUUCUCAGUAUUAUAACUACUUCCAUGGACGGUCUCCUAUUGGAGGCAUGGCUGGAAUCAAGCGUCCUUCCUCUGAACCUCAGGAGCAGCCUCUUGGGAAGAAAGCUGUUUCAGAGCCUCCUAAGCCAGUGCCGCCAAAACUGCCUCCUGCCCACCCGCCAGCCAGAGCUAAGCCAAAAGAAACCUCCCCAGUCACCAUGAAAGGAGUCCUGGCGGAGAGUGGGAAUAUCCCUAGCAGCAGCUGUGGGAUCUGCGGGAACCAUGUGCACCUGGUGCAGCGGUACUUGGUUGAUGGGAAGCUCUAUCACAGGAACUGCUUCAGGUGCAGGCAGUGUUGGAACGUGCUUCUUCCUGGAAGCUACAAAGCUGGGCCUGAGCCCGGUACGUUCAUCUGUACCAGCCACCAGCAAUCAGACGGUGUCCAGAUCUCUGGUCUCCGCAGCACCGGGAACAAACCUGAGAGUACCCCAGCCCCUACUGCUGCCAGGGCAUUCCAGAAAGCAGCAGAACCCAAGAAACUGGAACAGGUGUUGAAGAAACCCAGCCAGGAAGGCCUUGCUAAUUCAACCAAGCCAUCUGUUUCAUCUUCUGGAAGCUCUGGCUUCAAAAGUGUAAAUACUCCAUGGUCCUCUUCAGCUGUAAAUAAAUCAGAUGACUGCAAAGGUACCCCAUUGGGAAAUAAAGCAGAUCACCGUGAAGGUACUCCAUCAGGGCUUCUUUGGACAACCUCCACAACAAAAACACAGCAAGCCCGAGAAAAUUUUUUUCGGUCAUUAGAGUCCUCCAACAAUAAAACCUCUGACACUAAAAAACAAGUCCCUUCUUCUCAUGGCCUGGGUAAGACUGCCUCUGCCAGAACCACUACUGAGGUCAGUCCAGUGAAUGCUGAGAAGGAUCAGGCACGUAACCAUAUUAUACAGGCUCUGGCUGGAUCAAACACCUCUCCAAACAGGCUAGGAGGACUCAAUUCCACUGGCUCCUCAGUGUCCAGCAGUGGCAAGUUUUCUCCCACCAGUUCUCAGUGGCAGAGUCCAGCUGCAAAAGCACAGUCCAGCAAAACAGGGUACACGGCACUAAAACAGGAAAAGAUUACAGACCCUCUGCCCAAGAGCCAGGCUGCCAGCAAACCUGUUGACUCUGUGCGCAAGCCAGAGUCGAAAGGCAUCAAAGGGUUUUCUGAGUUGCGGGGCUCCACACACCUCCAUUUGUUCAUGUGCAAUGGAAGCACGAGUGUUGGUGAAGACAAGUCUGAGAGCCCAGCAGAGUGGAGAUCUCGGUUGAAGCCUGUAGCCAGCAAAGACCAAGGUGGCUCUAAGAAAUCUACUGAUAACUCCCAGGUGGGAACAGGGAGCCCAGCACACAAGGAGACAAAGCCAAGUCCAUUAGUUGUCCCAUCAGCAAAGCAGGACUCUGCUUCAUCUGGUGGAUUCAUGAAGAAGUUGUUGAUCCCCAGCUCAGAUCUUAUCAGGAGCUGUCAGAAUUCAAAGCAAGGCUGGGAAGACCCUAGGGGCUCUGCCAAGAAGGAGGAGGAGGGCAACCAGUUGAAGAAAAGCACUACCACAUUUAAACCCUCUGUUCCGGAAAGCACCCAGAGCCCUGCAGUGGUGUCCCCAACCAAGCUGCACCCAGACUACCUCCCGGAGGAGGAAAUCCAGGAGAAGGUGCGUGACAUCGAGAAGCAGCUGGAUGAGCUGGAAUUGAAAGGAGUGGAUCUGGAGAAGCAGCUGCGUGGCUGCGAGGGAGAUGAAUCUGAGGAUGCCCUCAUGGUGGAUUGGUUCAAACUGAUCCAUGAGAAACAGCUGCUGCUCAGACAGGAAUCGGAGCUGAUGUACAAGAUGAAACAGCAGAAGCUGGAGGAGCAGCAGUGGAACAUUGAGACAGAGCUGCGACACCUCAUGAGCAAGCCAGAGGAACUGAAGACACCCAGGGAGAAGGAACGAGAGAAGGAGCUGCUGGAGUCGUACCUGAACACAGUCAAUGAUCGGAAUAAUAUUGUGGAGUGCCUGGAUGAGGACAGACUCAGAGAGCAAGAGGAGGACCAGAUGUUGGCAGACAUGAUCCAGAGGUUGGAUGGAUCUCUCGAGAGCCAGGAGCCAGAGAAGAAGAAGAACAAGUUCCGCUUGUCCAAAAUAUGGAAGCAGAAAAAUAAGAGUAAAGCUCAGGAGUGAUGUUCCCCUGCCCAGCAGCCCAGAGAGGGGUGUCAAAGGGAUGUUCCUUCCUCACUGCUGCUUUCCUGGAGUUGUGCAGAACUGUGAUGAGACUCUACUGCUCCCUCACAUGGAGACUGCAGUUCUGAGUAAACAAGGGGAAUUCUCCAAAUUAUUCGCCAUGAGCACAAAGGGAAAUUGGCUUUCAUCGUCUCGCUCUUCAUCCAAGGAAGAAACUGAUCCACAGUAGGCACAGGGAGGAAGCGAGCAUCGUGGCUGCCCUCGGAUGCCUCGAGUCGACUUGAGACGGAGCAGCAACCCAUCCAUUUUAUCCAGCUGACUGAGAGGCCAGCACUGCCUGCAGCUUUUUGUCCCUACUGCUGAGCCACAUGGCCAGGGCUCAUUGCAGUUGGGACUGUAAAUGCAAAGUGCCUAUUGCCUAUGAGAGCAUUGGGUGCCGCUUUUGACUGUUCACCUCCCGUUUCCAGCUGGAUGAAUCUGUACCCAAGCUGCUCAGGAGAUAGGACAGAUCAAGAGCAUCCUCAAGGCUUUGUCUCAGCAUGAAGGUGACACCCUGGUCCUUGGCUGUUGGGCUGAAGGGUAAUGCCCAAGGCCAGUGUGGGGUUGGGAAGGGAAGGAUGGAGCACUGAUAUGGAGGGACGUGGGGCCUGGGGAGCUAGGUUUGGUCCAAAGCAAGAACUCAGAGGGAUGCUGGUGUGCUCUGUGAGAGCAGCAAAUGUGCCUGGCAGCUGGGGUGGGAGGAGGUGGCUGGAGAGGACCUCUUUGCUGGGAGUCCAUGGGAGGUCAUUUCAGCCUAGUGCAGAGCUUGAGGGAAAGGGGCUUCAUUAGAGGGGUGGCCCGUGGAGCUCAGACGAGGCAGCUGUGCCCGUUGGGGCACCCACACCCCUCCCCACCGCAUGCACCAUGCUGAGAGCCCCCUCACCCAUGCUCCGGCACAGUGGCAAAGCGUCUGUGGCAGCAACCAAGGGAGCGAAGGUUAUUUAUAUUCAUGUUGCAGCUCUGCCAGCCGUGACUCUGUUAUCUGCCAUGCAUGAAUAUUAUUUGAAUACAGAGUUUGUCGUGACUAUUCUUCCGCGUGAAACGAGGGAUUUGCUGUGGGAUGGGAACCCUCCCUCUGGCUGUCAGUCAGGAAGGGUUUCCUUUUCCUGUCUCGUUGGAAGCCACGUCCCCAGCAAGGUGAGACAGUGGACACUUUUUCUCUUGUUAAUAUCCAUGUCUAAUCUCCUCUCAGAGGGGCCCUUUGUCCUAGACUGUAGCCAAGAUGAGUAAUUCAGGGAUAGAUGAGACGCUAUAAUUGGUUUGUGACAAAUUAAAACAUUUUUCCUUCGGAGCUGAGAGCAGGACUGUGGUCUGGAGCUGUCAAGCGUCACAGGGGAGGGCGAUUUUCAGAAUAAGCGCAUUGCAAAUUGGCUCCAGAUACGCCUUGGAGUCUGAAAUUAAACUCCAGCUGGUGACUCUUCUUGGUUGGGGUUUUAUUUUAGGAGGGCACAAAGGGAACAUGUGUGGGGAGGAAGAACCUGAUCGAUAAAGAGAACGUGACUUUUUUUUGCAUCGUGCAAUGAGCUGGGGACUGGAGCGAGCCAUGGUGGAGAUGCUGGGGAGCACCCAGAGGUGUGAUGGGAGUGAGAGGCCCAAGAGCUGGAGCCCACCAUUGCCUGUCUUUCCUCCAUGCUGCUCUCAGUGGUUCCUCCAUCACAUCCCAGCAAGGAAGGACCAUGAUAGGAAGUUGUAGCUCACACCAUUUCUUCCCCUUGGUCAUGAGUGGGUGCCAGGUACAGAACCUCCUCAGGAGCUGCAGGCUGGUCCUUGCCCUGUAAUAUUUCUUUUCCUGGGCUAAGGAGAUUCCCUCACCUCCACUUGGAGAGCAGGGGACCAGCUAAAAGGAACACAGAGAUGAUCAGGACAGACAGUUUGAUGAAGUACUUGGUUCGACCCCAAGGCGUUUAUGAGGGGGUUUUGGGCAAAGGGAUGGAGGUGGGAGGAAAACGACUUCCUGAUGCAACUGCUCAGCGUUGUUUAACGGGGAGUGCUACAGCAGCAGCAUCUCCACCUUGCGAUGGAGAUGGAUGGAGAAUGAAGGAGUGCAUGAACAGCAGGCCUGGGAAGGACAUGGGUCUGUAAAGGGAAUUUAAAAGAGGCAAGAGGAGUCGCCAUGUGGGCUGGUUUGUGUGUAAAAGGCGGUGGGGAAGGAAGCUCUGACAUGAGAAGAGUGGACAAAGUCCAGAGGACAGGGGUGUUGGGGCUGGACCUCGCCACAGACAGGUUCAAUAUGGGAAUGGGUCAGAUGAGUGGAAACGAGGCCUUGAAUUGUUUACCUCAAGAUUUUGUAUCUGAUACUGAAGAAAAAGAGGCCCAACGAAGGGGUGCCAUGAGUUUUCUGGGAGGGCUGUAUCUCAAAGUGAAGGAGGUGAUCUGGAAGGGAAACUUGUAGGUAUCCAAACAGGGAAGGCACAAAGGCUGUCAGGGAGUUGGAAGAGUUCAGACCCUGGAGGUGUUGGGUGAGGAAAGGAGGAGGAGAUCUGGGCAUCUCCUCGAUAUGAAGAGUAUAACUAGCAGCCCAGGGUGGCAGGGUGAUGGUGAUGGGGAGAUGAAGGCCUUGGAAGGAAAGAUCACAGGAUCUGGUUUAGCAAUGGAAAAGUGCAUAGAUGCAGCAAAUCCUGAAAGGCAGGAUCAGAUGGUGAGCUGUGACUGGUGUCACUGGCAUUAAGACGUUAGCUAAUCCGGUUUAAGGGGAUAAGCCCAAGGAAAACUGUGGAGACCUAAAUUGGAGCUUGUCACUCUCCUGUGGAAAGCAGAAGUGUGGAGGAGGAGGAUUUGCUGAACGAGCCCCUGGAUGGUUGGUCAGAAACAGAGGAGGGCUGGAGGAGGGCUGUGAAGAUGAAGGGUCAGGAGGUAUCGGAGGGGAAGGAAUGACAGGGGCCACCGAAAGCUGCACGGGGUAGAGAAACCAUUCACUGUGGCAAGGAGAGGCCAUGGGACAGCCUUUGUGAGGGGUGGCCAGGGCAGGAGAUGAUCUAGGGGGCGUGGGAGGGGAAUGGGUGGGAGAAAUCAGGAAAAACCUGCUGAGAGGGUGAUGCCUGUGACAGUGCGGUGAAGGAUGUGCCAUAUUUUGGAAUUCACGCACAAUUUUACCGUCUUUUCUUACUGUAAGUGUGAUGCUGUUGUUGUGAUAGAAUAGCAAAAGGAUAGAUCAAGUUCACUUGUCUUGCUGAUAAGGAUAAAAGCAAUACUUAGCUGCCCACUUUUUAUCAAUAUUGCUGGACAUAUUUCAAAAAAGGAGACAGGGGAGACACUGAGAGUUUGUAACUGGAAUUACAAGUUCUGGAAGAAAUCAGUGGUCUAGUUUUAGGCCAUGUAUGAACUUCACUUGUUACAGUUUGUCCGGGAGCCUUCUGGGCUGCACAAUCUCUCCUUUGAUAGCUGACCUAUAGCCCAUCCUACUGGUGGAACUGGUAAGGUAGCAGCGAAUCUAUAGAAACGCGGUGAUCAUGGUCUGGGAAGCUUAUAUGAUGCAUAUCAAAGCCAGUAUGUGAAUUGCGUAAGUGUGAUGUAGGUCUGACACUAAAGUGAUAAGAGUCAUAUCAAGGGAAUAACUUAAUUAACUGGUCUUGAUCAAAGAACUAUAUAAAUUCAAUAGCCCAGUUUUCAGCGCUAAAUGACGAAGUUUAGAAAAACUGUACUUGACGCAAUUAUCAAUUUUGCUGUCCGAGGAGCUUUGAAGUGGCAUUAAGAAGGGACAGUCUGUUGUUCCAUUUAGGACAAUUUUCUCCCUUCCUCAAGUGAUCAGGAGGCAGAGGGGCUCCCUCUCCUUUUCAAGUGCUCAUUUGAAAUGUCUGAAGCGUAAUAAACACUGGAUGCCGACGGGAACGGUAUCUCAGCUUUCACAAGUUAAUUUUUUCAGACAGUGUAAAUCAGGAACAAAGAACUGUCCUCUCCCUGCCAGACAGAAAAAAAUGUCUUAAUUUCCUUCUAGCUUUCAUUUUGCCCAGGAUUUUGGAGGGGAAGUGGUCCCGUUUAACUUCUGACAGUCCUGGACCUUUUGGUCCCUCUGGCACGUCUGCCUGGCUGCGUGCUGUUCAAACAAGAUGCUGGGAAUGAGAGCAAGGAAGGCGUUAGGCCAUAGAAAGGCUUCUAGAAAUCUUUAAAAUACCAAGUGCCAUGUGUGUUUAUCCAAUUUGGAUGUGUCUAUGUGUACCACAGUGUUUGGUGUCUGUCCCACAAGUUGGAUUUCUGUGCUGAAUGACUCUUUGGGCCAAAGGGACUGGGGAGUUUCUGGUCAGCCUGAUCCACGGUGGACCAGACUUGGACAUUUUGUCCACCUGAGCUUUUUCUUCUUGAUGGGUCCCUCAGCUGCCAACUCAAACGGAGUUGGGUUUGCACCUUGAUUAACCUGAUAAAGCAUUGAUAUAGUCUCAGGAGGAUACACACAGAGGCAGCCCACCACAACUCACUCAAACUGAAGGAGGAGGAUUUGCCCCUGCUACAGGACUGAUGCACCCGAAUCUGGCUGCAAGGAGGGAGGAUGUGCAGGUGCUCUGCAGAAUGAGAACAUCCCGAUCCCUCACUUUGAAUUCACUCAUACCCAGUGAUAAAGUCAGUGCAGAACCGCUGAGUCAGACAAAAAAAGAUGUCCUCUGCCAAAGGGGCAUCAACCAAUGCCACGGGUCAAGUGACAAACAAUCCUGGAACGCAGAGUUAUAUUGAGUCCGACGUUUCUUUAUUUUGUCAAUGUUUGUAAAACAAAAAAACAAACUGAUUUUUAAAAAUGAGAAAUCAAAUGCUGAAAGAUCAUGAGGAAUAAUAGUGAAAGACCUGUUCAGCAGAGGGGUAGGGUUUUAAUGGAUUUCUGAGCAAAAUCUGGCCUGUGUAUUUGGUCCAGGACUACAAAUGGUGUCCUGGUUAGUCGGUGAGAUGUUUGGCUGAUGAAAUCCAUCUCAUUAUGGAAGCUGAGGUUUAACCUUCUGCACAGCUUUGCAGCUAUUUUAAGGGAGAUGGGGAUGCGGGCAGCCCUGAACUGCACCCUGCAUCAUUGCCUGUGCCCUCCUCCAUUUGCUGAUGCCUUCUCUACCCUCCAUGUCCAGCUGGUGUCCUGGAGACUCACCCUUCUGCUUAGGUAGAGUCAGUGCAGGAGAUGGUUCCUUUCUCCACUGUUACCUGGGCAGACUUCAACCAGGUCUUCCAGAGAGGCAGGCCAAUGCGUUUGGAUACACCUCCUGGAAAAGGAUACCUCAACCUUGUUCAUCCAUCAGUGACAGUGAUGGGAGAGAAGUCCUACUGCUUCCAGCUGCUGCUACCUAUGGACAAGCUUCCCUACUCUUCUCCAUCCCCUGGGAACUGUGUCCUUUCCACUGGUGAGUACCUCAUUCCCAAGGCAGGGAGAACUGGGGAUGUGUUGCGUCUGCCAGGUAAGGUGUGAGGCUGCUGCAAAAAGCUGAGAAGCCUGAGAAAGGCCCUUGGGAAGUCGAGGAUUAAUUCAAUUUCCUUACGGCUCCAGGACUUCCCGCCGCAGAACACAGAUGGACUUUGGUUUGGUCCCUGAAAUGAGGUGGUUCCUCCUCCUGGGCAGAAAGAGGGAAUGAUUUCCAAAGGCAGCAAGCCAAGGGUCCACUUGCUUGGGUCUUCCCUAGAAUAGGACUGAGCGAUGGAGGUGGGACAAUUGGCUCUGGAGCCACAGCGCUGUUUUUUCUCCAGGAGAUGGAAGGAAGCUGGGUGCUGGUAGCCGGGAGGCAAAGCUGCAGCUGGCCACACCGGCUCUGAACAGCGAGGGCAAUUAGAGAUCAGAAGAGCUGGGGUGGCUUCGUCACAUUUCCCUGCUGCCGUUCUGGAGGUGAUAAUAUAAUUCAUAUCAGAAGAGUUAGUGGGCUGAAAAUGAAUUGGAGAAAUCAAUCCAGAGGGUAUAAAUGAAUUAGCAUGUAAAUGAGGACACUUGCUCUACAUAGUUUAAUAUUGCCUGCAGCUGUAAAUAAUUCCAGGGAUGGAAUCAAAAGCCGCAAACAACUUCAUUUUUGUGCUCCUCCCCCGUCCGGGAGCACCUUGCAGCUACGACCAACCCACCCUUGCAGAAUCAUCGCGUUGCAAGGGAAUUAAAAGAGAUGAGAUGUAUACACCUUUUUUUUUUUUCCCCCCUUGAUUGGCCAUUAUUUACAAGGCUGCUGCUCCUGGUUUCGUGCAGCAAGUCGCUGUUUGUGCAUGCACAUGGCAGCCAGAGCGGCAGGGAAGGGGGGGGUGGGUACCAGCUUGCGUAUCACGAGCUAUCCCGGUCACCCCGUGGUGGGUCGACGUGUGUGUGAAAUAGCAAUUUCUCACCAAGACCUGCAGCAUAAAAGGCCUUGGUUGGGGUGGCGGAGUUACCUCUCCUGGGGUGUCUAAGGGUGGGAGAGGUGGGUGCCUGGAGAGCAGGAGCCAGCCAGGGGGAGCGGCUGCUUGAAUAAAAGGGUGCUUGGAGCUAUCUGGAGAGACGGCAUUGCCAGGCGAGAUGGAAGAGUGUUUGCACUAGAAGCACGGUGGGACUUGGAGUGCUGUGCACAGUCUGGAAAUCUGGAAGAGGUGCAGAGAGGGGUCAUUAGAGCAGGGAAGGUAUCGGAAAGCCCCUUUGAGAGGCAACUAAACAAGCACAGCUUAUUUAGCCUGAUGAAAUGAAGGCUGAGAGGAGGUGUGAUUGCACAGGCAGAUAAACACAAGGGAGGGAGAGACCUAGUUAAGCUAAAGGCCCCUGCUGAUACCAGAACAUGCAGAUACAACCUAGUCAUGAAUAAGUUUCAGAAGGAAAUGGGAUGGAGGUGUCUAAGCGCCAGAGCAGAGGCUAUGGACGAGUGCUGGAGAGUCCACACAACUGGGCUGCUCUUGCACUGGCGUUUGACUGUAAAAUAGGAUUAUAGGAGCCGGUCCCUCGAGAUCAGGCAACUGCGUUUUGUGAUCCGGGAAGUCCUGUCUGUUGCCAAAAGCCCCUUUAAUAUUCUGGCAGGGAAGGAUGCAGAUCUGAGGACAGCAUAUGUCUUGUUGAGUGACUCCAAGAGCGCUUGUUGAGAGCUUUUGGAGUGGUGCUGAUGACAGGAGGUUAAAGAUGAUCCUCGACAGUCUUUUAUCAGUGCUUCCCUCUUGUUUUUGACACUGACGGAUCACUGAGUUCCCUCUUUCAUCAGGUUGGAGUUUCAGGUUCUGCACUAACUAGAUCUCCCAGGUGGACUGGAAACACUGAUUAAGAUGGAUAGAGUGAAAGCAAGUCCAUUAAAUUGUUAAUAAAGAAUAUUACACACAUACCUUAAUCUGCAGCUAGCCUGACACUUUAUAAAAGUACAUUAGGAUAUAAUCCAAUUGAAGCCACAAUAUCGAGAACAUCUUAUCUCAUCACAAAUUGAAAUUAUAUCAUAUUCCUCAUUUCUUAAAUUAAAAAGCUAAAACCUUUUAGUUUGCUCUCAUAUGCUUGUGUAAAACUUAAUCAGUGGUUUUAACAACAUUAUUUUUCAAUAUGGGCCAUUUCUGCUCUCAUUUAUUUACAAGAGAGAACUUCCUGGUAGGAGAAGUGAUUCAAUUUGCAGGAGGAUACAUCAAGCACUUAAGGAUUUUGUAGGGAUUGAUUGAUUAUUUAUCAUGUUAUCUUGCCUGGAGACGUCUGAUAUGGCUGCGCUUUUGCUAUCUCUCAUUCCACCUAAUGCUCUUCCUUUGCGUCUCGCUCCCCUCCAGUGCUAAGGGCACACUUCCCCCGCGUGCGUGUGCCUGCACGAGUGUGUCGAAGGAAAAGGGGGUCAGGAAAGGCAAGGCUGAGGCUGUCUCUGUUGGGACGAAGAUGCUGGACUGGGCAGAUACGAGAGAUUCAUUUCACUGGAAGAUAGCACAGAAGUAAGAGAGGUUAAAGGGUGGUUUGAAAUUCUGCUGGAUUUUAACUGCAGGCUGCUGUGCUGCUCAGCUGUAGAUCUCCAAGUGCAUCAAAUAUGUCCUUCCCCACAGAGGAAGGAAUCGGGGCACAGGGAGGCUGUAUGGUUUGCUGGAAGCCCCACCAGGAGCAGAAAACAGCCCCAAGAGGCCAUCAGCCUGGGUUGGUAGCUGGUCACCUCAAACCACACUUCCCAGGGCAGCUGCGGGCACCUCCGAGUUGCCCAGCGAAGCCGCGGGUGCUGACCAGGAGCCUCCAUGGGACAGCGCUUCCUGCUCCGCCGAGCUGUCCCGGUGAUGCACUGCCAGGGCUCUUUGCAAAACCGCCAUUGUCCCUAUGCUUGCGAUGAAUCUGGUGUCCUGACGAGGCCAGGGUUGCAAUGCGAAGAGGAAGGCACCACCUCUUCAUGCUUGAAGGAAACCACUCCGCUCUCCUAGCAGUAGCCUCGCAGGGUGGGGGAUGCUAACUGCCUCCCAUUGCCUCGCUGUGGCAGGAGGGUUCGUUAGCCAUGGCAUGUUCUCCACAGAGGUGCCAAGCCCGAGGCCAAGGAGGAGACACGCAAGGUCUCCAUUUGAAGGGGGAUGAUGCCCAGGAGCCCUGCAAGAGGGCUGCGGCUCCAGCUUCGUCUUGAACUUUGGUGCUCUAUGGCCUUGGGGCACGAGUGGGUGAAGGAGGGAUGGUGCCCACGGGCACUCUUGGCCCAGCGUCCCUGGUAGGGCUUUGGGGCAUUGGAUAUAGCAAGAAAGAAAACUUUUUUUAUUUUAAGCAAGAAAACAAUGACAGCAGAAGCUCCAACCAAACCCUCAACUGUUUGGACUGUGGUUGUCUCUCUGGCAGGGGGAGGCACUGGGAACAAGGACUUUUGAGGUUUAUUCUUUUCACUGCUGCAGGUUUUGGCAAAUUGCUCUCCCUGCCAUAGUUUUCUCUGAGCAGUUUGAGAUCAGCUGGGUUUAUUCUUUUAUGAGCAUUGGAGUGCAGGAAUUGCUCACUUGUGGUGAAAAUAAAUACAGAAAUCCUGAAGCAUGACUCCAAAGAGAGACAAGCCUGCAAAAAAGCACCAUGCUGGAAAGAGAGUACGUUUGGUUUGUCUUAUUUUUCUUUUGCU